rnacentral:lncRNA from 1 species
AUCAAAUUUAUUUCAAGAGACUACACAUGGUUAUUUAAUCUCCGGUACCGAAUAGUCUUUUUCUUUAUUAUUUUGUUAGUUUUUGUUUUUAAGUGUGAAUGCAAGUGAUUAAUGAAUACAGACUUAACAAGCGUGGUUCUAAAGUUCCUGCUGUCAUCUACUUGGGCAACAAAUGACCCACUGGAAAGGCAAAUCCACUUACUUCUAGGUAUCUGUACCUUGUUCUGUGACUAAAGUGAUACACUAAUCACGGGGAACCCAGAAUGAUUCAACAUUUUCCCCUACUCCGCCCUUGAUCUUUUAGUUUUAUUUUGAGCCCUGCGAGAAUGCUGGAUAAAUGCCUUGAAGUUUGCAGGGGUGUUUUUUGUUGUUUGUUUUUUGUUUUGUUUUUUUUUUUAAUCCAAUGAUUUGCAUGUCUUGCCAAGAGUUGUGCAGCCUCUGGGGUGUUGGGGAAAUAGUUCCUUUCCUUUUAUUUUUUGUGGGGUGGGGACAGGGGGAGGGCAUUGAAGUUUUACAAUCCUGGAAUAGUUUGUGGGUACAUAGUUAACUUACUUUGGUUACAUGUUUGACUUUUAACAGCUGAAGAAUCUAAGAGUGUCAUUCAAGGAAAAGUUGCAGAACGAGUAAUUGGCUGAUAAUUACCCAUUGUAAUUGUGUAACUGGGAGCAAAAAUCCAUUCUGCUUUUCUGCUGUAGGUGCUCAGACUUGCUCUCUGUCACUAACACUAAGUGCGUACUCUUCUUGUUUUUCAUCAACCAUUUAAGAGAAACUUAUGUACCUUUCUGUAAAUUCUUUUAAUUUCAGUUUCUCAGCAAAAUCUAAAAAGGAAAAAAAAAUUCAUGAAAACCGUCUUUUUUUAGCCAGUGAGGAGGUAAUAAACACUGCUUAUAUAUGUAGAAGGUGUGUUUUCAGGCAAAUUCUACUUCUCAGCUUACAUAUUUCUAAUUAUAUCUUAAUAUAUUUUAUCAUUAGAGCAAGAUUGGGCUUGGGGUUUUUUUUGUUUGUUUGUUUGUUUGUUUGUUUGGGUUUUGUUUUUGUUUUUUAAUAAUGUGAAAUUCUGAAAAUUUUGGGCAGAAAGAGGCAUUAGCCCUGU